rnacentral:siRNA from 1 species
UGGAAGGUGUCACAAACAUUG